GACGGAGGAUGCAAGCGUUAUCCGGAAUGAUUGGGCGUAAAGCGUCUGCAGGUGGCAGUUCAAGUCUGCUGUCAAAGACCGGGGCUUAACUUCGGAAAGGCAGUGGAAACUGAACAGCUAGAGUAUGGUAGGGGCAGAGGGAAUUCCUGGUGUAGCGGUGAAAUGCGUAGAUAUCUGGAGGAACACCGGUGGCGAAGGCGGCAUCCUGGACCGAUACUGACGCUGAGGAGCGAAAGCCAGGGGAGCAAACGGG
rnacentral:rRNA from 1 species